ACCUACGGGGCGCAGCAGUGAGGAAUAUUGGUCAAUGGGCGCGAGCCUGAGCCAGCCAAGUAGCGUGAAGGAUGACUGCCCUACGGGUUGUAAACUUCUUUUAUAAAGGAAUAAAGUGAGGCACGUGUGCCUUUUUGUAUGUACUUUAUGAAUAAGGAUCGGCUAACUCCGUGCCAGCAGCCGCGGUAAUACGGAGGAUCCGAGCGUUAUCCGGAUUUAUUGGGUGUAAAGGGAGCGUAGACGGCAGGGCAAGUCUGGAGUGAAAGGCGGGG
rnacentral:rRNA from 1 species